GGGCGUAAAGACGCAUGCAGGUGGUUUGGUUUAAGUUCAGAUGUGAAAGACCCGGGCGUCAACCUACGGAAUAGCAUUUAGUAAACUAGGCAGACUAGAGUACUGUAGAGGGGGGUAGGAAUUUCAGGUGUAGCGGUGAAAUGCGUAGAGAUCUGAAGGAAUACCGGUGGCGAAGGCGGCCCCCUCGGACAGAUACUGACACUCAGAUGCGAAAGCGUGGGGAGCAAACAGGAUUAGAUACCCUGGUAG
rnacentral:rRNA from 1 species